CAAUAGCGUAUAUUAGAGUUGUUGCAGUUAAAAAGCUCGUAGUUGGAUUUGUGGCGUACGGUGGGUUCCGGGCACUUGUUGUCUGAGUAACUUGCUGUUGCCAUCCUUGGGUGGAACCUGUGUGGCAUUAGGUUGUCGUGCAGGGGAUGCCCAUCAUUUACUGUGAAAAAAUUAGAGUGUUCAAAGCAGGCUUAUGCCGUUGAAUAUAUUAGCAUGGAAUAAUGAGAUAGGACUUUUUUGCUAUUUUGUUGGUUUGCGCAAAGAGGUAAUGAUUAAUAGGGACAGUUGGGGGUAUUCGUAUUCCAUUGUCAGAGGUGAAAUUCUUGGAUUUUUGGAAGACGAACUACCGCGAAAGCAUUUACCAAGGAUGUUUUCAUUAA
rnacentral:rRNA from 1 species